UACGUAGGGGGCAAGCGUUAUCCGGAUUUACUGGGUGUAAAGGGAGCGUAGACGGCUUUGCAAGCCAGAUGUGAAAGCCCGGGGCUCAACCCCGGGACUGCAUUUGGCACUGUGUGGCUAGAGUGUCGGAGAGGCAGGCGGAAUUCCUAGUGUAGCGGUGAAAUGCGUAGAUAUUAGGAGGAACACCAGUGGCGAAGGCGGCCUGCUGGACGAUGACUGACGUUGAGGCUCGAAAGCGUGGGGAGCAAACAGG
rnacentral:rRNA from 1 species